AUUGAACGCUGGCGGCAGGCCUAACACAUGCAAGUCGAACGAGUGGCGGACGGGUGAGUAAUGUCUGGGAAACUGCCCGAUGGAGGGGGAUAACUACUGGAAACGGUAGCUAAUACCGCCUACCAUCGGAUGUGCCCAGAUGGGAUUAGCUUGUAGGUGAGGUAACGGCUCACCUAGGCGACGAUCCCUAGCUGGUCUGAGAGGAUGACCAGCAAAACGGGAACGGAGACACGGUCCAGAAUCUGACGGGAGGCAGCAGUGGGGAAUAUGGAACAAUGGGCGAAAGCCUGAUGCAGCCAUGCCGCGGGUAUGAAGAAGGCCUUCGGGUUGUAAAGUACUUUCAGCGGGGAGGCGUUACCCGCAGAAGAAGAACCGGCUAACUCCGUGCCAGCAGCCGCGGUAAUUC
rnacentral:rRNA from 1 species